CAUCAUAGCAGUAGCAGCAGUAAAAUAGGUGAUAUCACAGAGAAUUAUUUUGAAACAUUUCCAAUCCAAAUGUUUGGACUGGAACUGUCCAAAUCCAAAGAUACACUAUGACAGACAUAGUGUAUCUGUCAUAAAUGUAAGUAGUCUUCUCCACCAGAUGACUAUAAUUGCAAAGUCGAGUUUGAUGUGAUGUCUGAUGGCACCCUUCUAUGGACAUUCCAUAUGAACAUACAAAACAUAUCUCUUGACUAGAUCCUGUGCAUAAUAAUGAAGAAACACAUGAUCUAGGGCUGAAAACCAGAUUAGAAGAAAAAGCUGAACACCUUGAGCAAGGACUCAUGACAAUUUAGCAAAAUGUUCUUUACUACUAA
rnacentral:lncRNA from 1 species